UACGUAGGGGGCAAGCGUUGUCCGGAAUUAUUGGGCGUAAAGCGCGUGUAGGCGGCCAGAUAAGUCCGCUGUGAAAUCUCGAGGCUCAACUUCGAGCUGUCGGUGGAAACUGUCUGGCUAGGGUCCGGAAGAGGAGAAUGGAAUUCCUGGUGUAGCGGUGAAAUGCGCAGAUAUCAGGAAGAACACCCGUGGCGAAGGCGGUUCUCUGGGACGGUACUGACGCUGAGACGCGAAAGCGUGGGGAGCGAACAGG
rnacentral:rRNA from 1 species